AGCAGCCGCGGUAAUUCCAGCUCCAAUAGCGUAUAUUAAAGUUGUUGCAGUUAAAAAGCUCGUAGUUGAAUUUCGGGAUUGGCGCAUCGGUCGUGCCUUACGGGGUAUGAACUGGUGCAGUCAAUUUCUCACCUUCUGGAGAACCGCGAUGUCCUUAAUUGGGUGCCGCGGGGAACCAGGACCUUUACUUUGAAAAAAUUAGAGUGUUUAAAGCAGGCAUUUUUGCUUGAAUACAUUAGCAUGGAAUAAUAAAAUAGGACGGCAUGGUUCUAUUUUGUUGGUUUCUAGGACCACCGUAAUGAUUAAUAGGGAUAGUUGGGGGCAUUAGUAUUCAAUUGCCAGAGGUGAAAUUCUUGGAUUUAUUGAAGACUAACUACUGCGAAAGCAUUUGCCAAGGAUGUUUUCAUUAACCAAGAACGAAAGUUAGGGGAUCGAAGACGAUCAGAUACCGUCGUAGUCUUAACCAUAAACUAUGCCGACUAGGAAUCAGACGAUGUUAAUUUUUUAAUGACUCGUUUGG
rnacentral:rRNA from 1 species